CUCACCGAUUCAUCCGCGCUGUCCCGGCUCCGUUCCCCCCUCACCGCUCCAUCCGCCCCCUCACGGCUCCGCUCGGCUCAGCACAGCUCCUCACGGCAUCGCCCGCUCCAUCCCGGCCUCACCCGACCCCUCUCGGCUUCUCGCGUCCCCUCACGGCUUCGCCCGCCCCACCCGGGACACUCGUACCGAUUUUUGCAUCUGCUUUGCCUCUGUGGAUCUGCACUUCACUUCACGGAGCUCAGUAAAAACAAAAAAGUCGAUGCAUAGACACGAGAGGAAUGGUUUAAUUCCUCUGUGCAGGCAGAACAACUGGAUCGAGUGCAUGAAUCAAAUAGUCCUGUCCUGAAUAAUUUCCUUGUUUCUGCUUCAUGUAUGGAUUUUCUGUAGAGGUGCAUUCAUUUCCAAACCAAGCUCUAUUCAAAAUGCAACUGAGAAAGGUGGCCCAGAGCUGAAUGUCCUCAAUUAAUUUGGUUUUAGUUAUUCUCCCUAAACAAGCAAAUUCCAACGUGAGGGCAGAAAGCAAAGCUAACGAGGCACUGCAUCCUCCAGACACCCCAGCUUUAUCGUUCUCAAGUGGAUGAGCCCUGCAGACAUGGAACAGUGGCUCGGCUCAGCCAAGGCACACACAGCAGCCCAGGUGAGCAGAUCCCCCUGCGUGUGUCCCUGCCCUGGCCCUGGGCAUGAGGAGUGGGGCCAGGCAGAGAUGAACUGAUGGGAGUCUGAUCUGGCCUAAAGAGAGGCAGGAAGGUGAAGGGCUGUGGUGGAGACUCAGAGGAGGUGGAGGGCGUGGGCUUGGAGCAACUCAGUCUGCUUUUGGGUCACACCUUCACACUGGGAGGUGAUGUGACAGCACCUUCCCUCUGGGAGUUCCUCAUGCACCUUGCCUCCCACGAGGAGGGUGUUCCUCUUCCCCCUGAAAUUCCCUGGCUCACAUGCAGCAGCUGCUGCUUGUGCUGAGUAGGCAGUGCUGCGUUGUUGCUGCUGCUGGAUGGGAUGGAAGCAUCCAGAAAUGCAGGCUCUUGAUUCUCUGUCAGUUGGCAUCACAUCUCAGCUCAUCAGUGCAAAACCACGUCAACAGAGUGAUGCUUGAUUUGGGGACACACUUUUGUACCCUGGGUGCCAAACCUCUUUGAUCUGGGGGCACUGCCAGGUCCCUGCUGCUCCUUUUGGAGUGUGGGCCCUCCAGAGGCACUUUCUGCUCUUCUGGGCAGUCCUUUGCCUUCUAUGUGUGUUAGUAGGGAGCAAUUUAUCCUCACAAGGAAAACAAUGGGUUUUUUCCAUAGCUGAUGCCACAUUUUGGUUAGCAAUGGGAGAAGUGGAAAAGGAAUGACACACAUCAUUACUGCUGUCUGCACAAAGGGCUGAAUUCAGAUCUCAUCUACACUGUCCUGAUGGAGAGAGAGCGCUCCACAUGCUCUCCCCUCUGGCAUGGCACCAUUUAAAUGUGUGUGACACAGCCUGUUCUCCCAGAAAACACAGAAACCUCUGGGGAUCCUAAGUGGUUUGACCCCUUUGCAAGCAGAGUUUCUGGUCUUGCAGUGUGGCUUCACCCUGUGUGGGCAAUGUCGUUAGCAUGGCCACCCCAUAAUUGUGGGGUUGCCUUUCUGGAGCAUGGCAGGCCCUUCCAGUUCUGGAGCAGCAUGACCCCAUGAAGCAAAACAGUCAGGCUGUGGGACAGCUUGGAGAUUCAAAACACAGAGAUACUCUCAGAAAGCCUCAAAAGCCAGCCAAACUGGGUUUUCCAAGGAUAAAAGUAAAUUUAAAUAAGAGUUCAUUUUUCCGCAUAAGUAAGAGGGGGACAGAAACUACAGAAACUAUGUGGACCUGUGCUCUGUAUAUGGAAAGGUUAAUUUCUCGGUUGUAUUUUCACCAAAAUACAGGCAUGAAGAAAGCUCAAAUAUUCAGGCAUGCUAAAGGCAAGGGACUAUUCAGUAAGAACUGGACAGAACAAGGGGAAAUGGCCUCAAGAUGUGCCAGGGGAGGCUCAGCUUGGACAGCAGCAGGAAUUUCUCCAUGGAAAGGGUGCUCAGGCCUUGGCAGGGGCUGCCCAGGGAGCUUUGGAGUGCCCAUCCCUGGGUGUGCCCAAGGAAGGGCUGGAGGUGGCACUCAGUGCUCUGGGCUGGGGACAAGGUGGGCACUGGGCACAACUGGGACUCCAUGGGCUGGGAGGGAUUUUCUCACCUCAAUUAUUCUGUAAUUCUAUAAAGAAUAGAAGAGCAGUUAAUUAAUGAAUGACUGAAUCCAAUGCCAUUCUUUUUGGUAUGGUUCUGUCAGACAGGGUUUGGGCUUGGAUUGCCCAAAGAAGACCAUGGUAUUGAAGUUUGCUGACAGCACAAAGCUUGACAUUGCCCCAGCAUAGAGAGCAAGUCAGAGAUAGGAUGGAGUUUAACAGUGAGAAAUUCUUGCAGCAAGCAUGGAUUUCUGCUGCAAACUCCAAAGCUCAGAAGGACAAAGAAGAGAAAGGCUUGAACAGAUCAGCAGAUCUCCAGGCAGCUGGGAGCCCGGUGUGGCAUGGCCACCUAACGGCAAGCAGGAGUUUGAGGCAGGUCAGAAGUGACAUUACCAGGACACAGGGAGAGAUUAACACUCCCCACUGUGGGUGGCCACAGCCACAGCCACCCACAGGCAGGGCUGCAGGGAAACACUGCUGGUGGUGCACAGCUUCUGAGAGGGCACCCAAAGAAGCAUCCAUGAGUGAACAUGGAUGGGACAUCAGGAGGACUUUCUGCUGGAAAAGGACAUUUUGGGAGCAGUCUUCCAGCAGUAAAUGACCCAGCUGACCUCAGAUGAAUUCAGCAAUCUCGGUGAGAGGAAGGAGGUGCUUGGUGAGAUGGGAUGUUUCCAUCGUGUUCCCUAUUCUUCUGCUCUGCUUCCAGCCAGAGAUUCCAGCCUGCAGCGCUCUUUUACAACCCAGCUCUUGCCCAAGACAAAAGGGCUGUUAUAGUAACCACAAUAGUGUGACUUCCCCUGACCAGUGCCAUCCAUCCCUGCAGGAAAACAGGGCUGGAAAAGCUCUGAAAGAGCUUCAGAAAAUUUCAGUGUCAGGAGUUGGCAUGAAACUAAUCCAACUGUAUCACGCUGCAUUCAAAGCCACAUCUUAUUAAAUCAUUCAGGAUGAAGGACUGGAAACAGGGGCAGUUUGCCAACUUAUUCAGCAGAUGUACAGUCACAGCUGGUCAGCAGUUUUCUAAAAUUACCAGUCAUCUAAGACAAAUUUUCGUCAUGACCAAGGCAGGUUUUUAAUAGAUUCAGGAAACAAAACGUUGUCUGGUAACAUUUCUCCUAAUUCUAAGGCAGUAAAUUGUGAUACUAAUUUUCAAUUCCUUCUAUGUUUUCUAUUCCUUUUCAGAAUUUUUAUUUUCUGUUAAAAAAUGUUGAUCACCCUCCUUUACCCUUAGAAGAGUGAAGGCCAUGCUAACUUCUGUCUCGUUGUAAAAAUCUGGUUUAUAGGGAAUUAUUUCAAGAAGUUUGGAGGCAAUUUAAAUAUGGUUGAAAUUUUUUUUCGCAUCUGGAUGAGUUAACUUUUGUCACUUUAUUUUUUCCUCAGGAUGUAACAACUCCCUGCUGCUCUCUUUGUUUCUCUGGCUGCUCUUCACUGUCCUGUUUUAUGAAAUUUAGUUUUCAUCUCCUUUGGACUUGAGAGAAGGUGAGGCAUUAGGAAGCAAAGGAAAUUACUGUACUUGCCAAUAUACUCAUACAAGAGGAGAAGCAAAUAUUGAGAGUGAACUCCCAGUCCCUUCAGCAUUAGAAUGAAGACAGGUGCUUGUUGGCUGCAGCCAUGCCAAAAGUACCUCAUAGUUAUGGGAGCAAGGGGAGUCCAUACCACUUGUCAUACAAUCAUAGAAUCACAGAAUUUCAGUGUCACUGAGGCUGGAAAAUCCCUGCCAGCCUAUGGAGUCCCAGCUGUGCCCAGUGCCCCCCUUGUCCCCAGCCCAGAGCACUGAGUGCCACCUCCAGCCCUUCCUGGGACACCUCCAAAGCUCCCUGGGCAGCCCUGCCAAGGCCUGAGCACCCUUUCCAUGGAGAAAUUCCUGCUGCUGUCCAAGCUGAGCCUCCCCUGGCACAGCUUGAGGCCGUUUCCCCUUGUCCUGUCCCUGUUCCCUGGCAGCAGAGCCCGACCCGCCCUGGCUGUCCCCUCCUGGCAGGAGCUGUGCAGAGCCACAAGGUCCCCCCUGAGCCUCCUUUUCUCCAGGCUGAGCCCCUUCCCAGCUCCCUCAGCCGCUCCUGGGGCUCCAGCCCCUUCCCCAGCUCCCUUCCCUUCCCUGGCCACGCUCCAGCCCCUCCAGGGCCCAGAACUGGGCACAGCCCUGGGGUCCCUCAGCAGGGCCAGCCCAGGGCACAGACCCUGCCCUGGCCUGUGGCCACCCCAUGGCUGGCACAGCCCGGGGCCAUUGGCCUCGUGCCCCCCUGGGCACCCCUGGGCUCCUGCCCAGCCCUGGCACAGCCCCCCAGGGCCUUUCCCGACGGGCCCUUUCCAGCCCCUCUGCCCAGCCUGGAGCUGCAGGGCCGGGGCUGAGCCCAGGGCAGGACCUGGCACUGGCUGAACUCAGCCCAUGGAUCCAGCCUGUCCUGGUCCCUCUGCAGAGCUGCUGCCCUCCUGCACUGCCACACUCCAGCCAGCCUGGGGCUGUCUCUGAAGUUACUGAGGGCACCCUUUGGUAACUCUCACACUGAAAUCUGUUCCCUGCACUCACACUCUGGUUUUGGCUCUUAUAUAUCGCACAGUUUUUAUGCUGCCCAGGCAGUGCGGGUUGCAAACAAAACACAUCAUCCAUUUAUACUUUUGGAAAGGUUUUGCCCCACCCAAAGCCAGGCUGAGGCUGGUGGCAAACAGCUUUGCAGAGGAAAUUUCUUGUGCUCCCAGCUCUGCCAAGGGCUUAGCUGAUCCUGUGUUUCAGAGCACAGAUUCCAAUAACGGGAAUGAAGCAGCACAUCAGUCAUCAGGCUCUUUCUUUUAGCACUGUUAGCAGUUACACCACACAAAGCAAUUGAACAGAAAGAGUCAUUCAGCUGGGGCUAGCUGAGUCUUAGUCUUUUGUCUGGAAAAUCCUUAACAUCCCCACUGAGGACUGGAGUAACAAAUUAAAAACUUUUGUCUGCUUGCCCCUCCAAAUCAGUGCGUGUCAGUAACACUGUGAACAUGGAAAAAGGAAAAGGGAGUUGUGGGCUGGCUUCACCAUUCAUUAAGGUAAUUUACUCUUCUUUACAAGGUUGGAAAGGGCUGUGUAACAGUGCUUGGGGCAUGUAUCUGGACACAGUGGGGGUGGAGAAAUGGUGUUGCCGUGUCCUGCUUUGGGAAUGACUGUGAGUCCUGUGCUGAAUGCAGAAAGCUAUGUAAACCAUUUUUUCUUCAUGUGUACAUGGAGAAUCCACUCAAACUCAAAAGUAAUCAGUGAAUGGGAUGCUUUACCCCUCUUCAGGAUGCUUGGUAUUUGCAGGUGUUUGGUUACAGAGUGGUCAAAGCCAAACCUUUCCUGGUAGCAACAGGGAUGGACCAAUGGCCCCUGACCCCAGACUGCAGCUGGGGCGCUCAGGAUGGGUGUGGGGUAGCACACCUUCCAUGGAAUCACAAAGUCACAGAAUCAUUAUGGUUGGAAAAGGCCUCCAAGGUCUCCAACCUUUGAUGGCACACCACCAUACCCACUAAGGCAGCCACCCCAGGACAGACACUGGGAGGCUUUAGGAACCUCCCUGAAACAGCCUGUGAAUGAGAGACCAGUGUAACACUGAAUGGAAGAGAUGGGAAAGCUUGCUGUGAAGCAAAACUUAAACACCUUCCUUUGAAGGUAACUGAAAUUCCUGUUUGACAGGGAAAAUAGUGUUUUUCUGUUUUCAAGUUUUCUGUGUUGUUGUGGCUGAGGAAACAAACCUCUGUGCACAGAAACAAGCUGCACGUGGGAGGUGCUGCCUGAUAACAUGCUCAAACCCCAGCAGUUCUGUCCUUGCUUUCUGUGGGAGGUUACAGGGCCUCUGGUGGUGUUGUUGGAGGCACUGGUCCAUUCUGGAGCCAUUAACUCAAGCUUUAGAGUUUCACAAGCAGCAGGGUCUCAUUUUUAAUCACUGUUUUUAUGUCUUGGAAAACAGUUCUAUGUAGAAUGGAGUUCUUAUUUCUCUUGGCUUUCUUAACAUCUACCCUGAUUGGAUGUCUGUUUGUUUCACUCCUGUCAGGAUAAAAUCUCUUCUUUUUGGCAGAUUCCCCAUGCUGGAAUUCACUUUUGCAGUUGAUACUUUAAUGGCACAUGGGUGCAAAUUGAUUUUGUAAAACAUUUUACUUAAAAUGCCAGGAUAAUAAUUUACUGUGCUUGUCAUUGGAUCUCUUUUUGCUUAGGCACUCCCUGCACUUCUUGAGCUGUGGAUGUGAAAUAAGCCUCAGUGAAAUUUGGCAGGAUGUGAGCUGCAGCAUUAGCUGUACAAGGUGUUAGCACCCAAACCCAUCAUUUGGGAAGUUUCAGUGCCUCUCCUCCAUAAGGUGCUGUUACACAUGUUCACUACAUGAACACAGGCACCUUUGUGGAAAAUGUUCUUCAGUAGACCCACAAUCCGUGACUGUCGAAUAAAUUCACUUGUGAACUGAUUCUGUGUAAAAAGGGAGCCUUACACCCAUUUAUCAUAAUGAAAGGAAUUCCUUAAGCACUAUGGAAAACAGCCACCUACAAUUAUCACUCAGUAAUUUAAAAUGCCGGUUGCUUUCCUUUCUGACACAGAAAAUAUAUGUCUAUGCGUGCAGUAAAGGUAUUUAAUGAUCACAUGCUGCAUUAACAGGAUAGGAAAAUUAAUCCCAUCCAAUAUAAAAGUAUAAAUAUCAUUAGCUGAACCAAGAUGAAUGUGACGUUCUUGGUGAGUGAAUCUAUUUUUGGGAAAUCAUGGGGUUGGAAUAAGAUUAAAAUAAAAAAGAGGUGACACUUGGCUCUUCUAACUAACUGUAAAAUACUCCCUUUUCCACUAAGAGGUUGCAACUUGUUCCUUUCAUAAAGCCUCUGGCUUAGCCUCUCUAUAAUUUCAGCCUGAGAAUAGCUCCAGGGUUGAAGCAGACCCUCUGAUGGAGUGACAGGACAAGGGGGAGUAGGUGUAGAUCAGCUGCUAGGAAGGAAUCCUUCCCUGGGAGGGUGGGCAGGCCCUGGCACAGGGUGCCCAGAGAGGCUGUGGUUGCCCCUGGAUCCCUGGCAGUGCCCAAGGCCAGGCUGGACAGGGCUUGGAGCAGCCUGGGACAGUGGAAGGUGUCCCUGCCCAUGGCAGGGGGUGGAAUGAGAUGAGCCUUAAGGUCCCUUCCCACCCGAACCAUUUUGUGAUUUUAUGUAACCAAUGUUGCUUCUUUUUGCAGAACAAGUUUACAAAGCAGCUCAGCUUGUGCCACCCUUAGCAUUUCCCCUGACCUCCAAGAGUACUUCUCAUAAGGUAAAAUGCAUUCAGUUGGACUUAGCCAAAGCUGUUGUUUAUCUCAUGGAAUAUUUUAAAAGCCAAUCUGUUCCAUCUGUUGGUGUAUUUUUACUCUGAUUGAAAUAGACACAGAAC
ensembl:lncRNA